rnacentral:rRNA from 1 species
UCCGUAGGUGGAUAAUUAAGUCAGAGGUGAAAUCCUGCAGCUCAACUGUAGAAUUGCCUUUGAUACUGGUUAUCUUGAGUCAUUAUGAAGUGGUUAGAAUGUGUAGUGUAGCGGCGAAAUGCAUAGAUAUUACACAGAAUACCGAUUGCGAAGGCAGAUCACUAAUAAUGUACUGACACUGAGGGACGAAAGCGUGGGGAGCGAACAGGAUUAGAUACCCUGGUAGUCC